UGCUCACUCUUCUUUUACACCUCUUCCUUCAUCUGCUUAGAUACAAGCAGAAGCAGAUGAAGGCAGAGAUGCAAAGGAAGCUUGCACAUGAG
rnacentral:sRNA from 1 species